AGUGAACGCUGGCGGUAGGCCUAACACAUGCAAGUCGAACGGCAGCACAGUAAGAGCUUGCUCUUACGGGUGGCGAGUGGCGGGCGGGUGAGGAAUACAUCGGAAUCUACUUUUUCGUGGGGGAUAACGUAGGGAAACUUACGCUAAUACCGCAUACGACCUACGGGUGAAAGCAGGGGAUCUUCGGACCUUGCGCGAUUGAAUGAGCCGAUGUCGGAUUAGCUAGUUGGCGGGGUAAAGGCCCACCAAGGCGACGAUCCGUAGCUGGUCUGAGAGGAUGAUCAGCCACACUGGAACUGAGACACGGUCCAGACUCCUACGGGAGGCAGCAGUAGGGAAUAUUGGACAAUGGGCGCAAGCCUGAUCCAGCCACACCGCGUGGGUGAAGAAGGCCUUCGGGUUGUAAAGCCCUGUUGUUGGGAAAGAAAAGCAGCAGGUUAAUACCCCGCUGUUCUGACGGUACCCAAAGAAUAAGCACCGGCUAACUUCGUG
rnacentral:rRNA from 1 species